UCGGCGUGCUUAACACAUGCAAGUCGAACGGAAAGGCCCUGCUUUUGUGGGGUGCUCGAGUGGCGAACGGGUGAGUAACACGUGAGUAACCUGCCCUUGACUUUGGGAUAACUUCAGGAAACUGGGGCUAAUACCGGAUAGGAGCUCCUGCUGCAUGGUGGGGGUUGGAAAGUUUCGGCGGUUGGGGAUGGACUCGCGGCUUAUCAGCUUGUUGGUGGGGUAGUGGCUUACCAAGGCUUUGACGGGUAGCCGGCCUGAGAGGGUGACCGGCCACAUUGGGACUGAGAUACGGCCCAGACUCCUACGGGAGGCAGCAGUGGGGAAUAUUGCACAAUGGGCGGAAGCCUGAUGCAGCAACGCCGCGUGCGGGAUGACGGCCUUCGGGUUGUAAACCGCUUUCGCCUGUGACGAAGCGUGAGUGACGGUAAUGGGUAAAGAAGCACCGGCUAACUACGUGCCAGCAGCCGCGGUGAUACGUAGGGUGCGAGCGUUGUCCGGAUUUAUUGGGCGUAAAGGGCUCGUAGGUGGUUGAUCGCGUCGGAAGUGUAAUCUUGGGGCUUAACCCUGAGCGUGCUUUCGAUACGGGUUGACUUGAGGAAGGUAGGGGAGAAUGGAAUUCCUGGUGGAGCGGUGGAAUGCGCAGAUAUCAGGAGGAACACCAGUGGCGAAGGCGGUUCUCUGGGCCUUUCCUGACGCUGAGGAGCGAAAGCGUGGGGAGCGAACAGGCUUAGAUACCCUGGUAGUCCACGCUGUAAACGGUGGGUACUAGGUGUGGGGUCCAUUCCACGGGUUCCGUGCCGUAGCUAACGCUUUAAGUACCCCGCCUGGGGAGUACGGCCGCAAGGCUAAAACUCAAAGGAAUUGACGGGGCCCCGCACAAGCGGCGGAGCAUGCGGAUUAAUUCGAUGCAACGCGUAGAACCUUACCUGGGUUUGACAUGGAUCGGGAGUGCUCAGAGAUGGGUGUGCCUCUUUUGGGGUCGGUUCACAGGUGGUGCAUGGCUGUCGUCAGCUCGUGUCGUGAGAUGUUGGGUUAAGUCCCGCAACGAGCGCAACCCUUGUUCACUGUUGCCAGCACGUUAUGGUGGGGACUCAGUGGAGACCGCCGGGGUCAACUCGGAGGAAGGUGGGGAUGACGUCAAGUCAUCAUGCCCCUUAUGUCCAGGGCUUCACGCAUGCUACAAUGGCUGGUACAGAGAGUGGCGAGCCUGUGAGGGUGAGCGAAUCUCGGAAAGCCGGUCUCAGUUCGGAUUGGGGUCUGCAACUCGACCUCAUGAAGUCGGAGUCGCUAGUAAUCGCAGAUCAGCAACGCUGCGGUGAAUACGUUCCCGGGGCUUGUACACACCGCCCGUCAAGUCAUGAAAGUUGGUAACACCCGAAGCCGGUGGCCUAACCGUUGUGGGGGAGCCGUCGAAGGUGGGACUGGUGAU
rnacentral:rRNA from 1 species